UACGUAGGCAGCAAGCGUUGUUCGGAAUUACUGGGCGUAAAGAGUGUGUAGGCGGUGCUCUAAGUCUGUUGUGAAAUCUCCCGGCUUAACCGGGAGGGUGCGGCGGAAACUGGAGUGCUUGAGGGUGGGAGAGGUAAGCGGAAUUCCUGGUGUAGCGGUGAAAUGCGCAGAUAUCAGGAGGAACACCGGUGGCGAAGGCGGGUCUCUGGGUAGUAACUGACGCUGAGGCGCGAAAGCGUGGGUAGCGAACAGG
rnacentral:rRNA from 1 species